GUUAAAGAAAAAUUACUGUCAGAGUCAUUGUGUUGGAGCUCUGUUAUACACUAACAGGGUUAUCCACUAAAAUCAGAAAUUGUCAGGAAUUCAAAUUUAAGUCCAAAGUAGCCAAGCUGAACUUGGACAUUUUUUCCAAUUUAACUACUUUGCCUUAAAAGAAUACUCCAAAAAACUUUAAGCACUUUAGCUUGCUGAAGCACUUUAUAUUUUAAUGAAAU